CUGUUAUAUAUGCUCUGGGAAAGUCAGGAUUGUUCUUCCAACUGCAGUGUGCAAAGAAUAUGGGUGAAAUUACAUCACUACUGCAUUCUCUGAAACAGAGAUUCAGAGGGAUCAUUGCCCAGCAGUUCACUUUCUCUGAAUGAGGAGUUCCCCUAAUAGUGAUUGAAGAGGCAGACCCAUGGGGUUACAGUCUUGCAAACCUUGCAACUCCUGCCUGCAAAGUAAGGAGGACUGCAGAGCGGCUGGUGGCUGGUCGUGUGUGUGUGACGACUGGAGAUAUUGCUCUGAACACUGCUGUGACAUCUGCUGCCAGAUGUGUGUGGACGUGUGCUCUGGCUUAUGUUCAGGGGACUGCAGCUAUACCUUCUGUACUCUCUGCCUCGGCAUGGCACAGAACUGUAUCUCCUUUUUUACCACCCAAAAAACUGAAUCAUCAGAGUCACAACAGGCUAUGAUGGAUCCAGUACAGCGUGCCUUUUGAACUUGACGGACCAGUGACCAAACCCAAAAUGUGGAUUGAUUUGAAAACACAAUGCAAGUAAAUUCAGCUACAUAGCAUUUGUUUAUAAAUUUUAAAAAAUAAAGGUUGAUGACAUGGUGUAGGGUUUCGCUGCAACUGGGUCUUUUUCUUUCAUGAAAAAGGAGAUUUUAGUUGCACUGUAACUAAAUGAGGUUUUUCAUUGAACUAUUUAAUCCACAUUGACCUCUAAAAAUCCUGCCAAGCGUACUAUGGACUGGAUCCAGCCAUUGUUAUUGUUUGCUUCCAAGUGCAUUUCAGUGAUAGUCUAAGUGCAUUUCAGUGGUAAAGGGAUUUCUGAUCCCAAGACAGAACCGCAUUUGAAGACAAAACAAUAAUCAACCGUUAUCAUACAAGGGUCAAAACAGGCCUCUGUAUAGAGCAUGUGUGUAUUAAAGUAUGAAUGCAUGUGUGUCAAUGUGUUCGGAGGAUAAUUGUAAAGCUCUUUGUCCCAUAGGGUUGAAAGGCACUAUAUAAAUGCAGUCAAUUUAAAAUGUACCAUGUCUUCUCAAGUGAUAUUCAGUUGAGAGGACAUUUAAACCUCUCAAUCACUCAUCGUUUUUGGUUUAAGGGUGUGCAUGUUUCUGUUUGAGAAGAAAACUGAAAAGCACAUCUUGUCGGGCUUGGAUGACUAGUGUUGUGCUUGUACAAUAUGUACAGGCUGUUUCAGUGACUAAGGAGCAGCACUGUAGGGCAGAGAAAGUCUGCAAAUAGGUUUUCUAGACGAGGAGAUGGGGAAAAUGUAA